rnacentral:rRNA from 1 species
GACGAAGGGGGCAAGCGUUGUUCGGAAUUACUGGGCGUAAAGGGCGCGUAGGCGGUUCUUUAAGUCAGGCGUGAAAGCCCUGGGCUCAACCUGGGAGUGGCGCUUGAUACUGGGGGACUAGAGAGUGGGAGAGGUUGGUGGAAUUCCCAGUGUAGAGGUGAAAUUCGUAGAUAUCGGGAAGAACACCGGUGGCGAAGGCGGCCAACUGGACCAUUUCUGACGCUGAGGCGCGAAAGCGUGGGGAGCAAACAGG